rnacentral:rRNA from 1 species
UACGUAGGGUGCGAGCGUUAAUCGGAAUUACUGGGCGUAAAGCGUGCGUAGGUGGUUCGUUGUGUCUGUGGUGAAAGCCCCGGGCUUAACCUGGGAAUGGCCAUGGAAACUGGCGAGCUGGAGUCUGGCAGAGGGGGGUGGAAUUCCGCGUGUAGCAGUGAAAUGCGUAGAGAUGCGGAGGAACACCGAUGGCGAAGGCAGCCCCCUGGGCUAAGCACUGACGCUGAGGCACGGAAAGCGUGGGGAGCAAACAGGG